rnacentral:rRNA from 1 species
GGACGAACGCUGGCGGCGUGCUUACCACAUGCAAGUCGAACGGAAAGGCCCUGCUUUUGUGGGGUGCUCGAGUGGCGAACGGGUGAGUAACACGUGAGUAACCUGCCCUUGACUUUGGGAUAACUUCAGGAAACUGGGGCUAAUACCGGAUAGGAGCUCCUGCUGCAUGGUGGGGGUUGGAAAGUUUCGGCGGUUGGGGAUGGACUCGCGGCUUAUCAGCUUGUUGGUGGGGUAGUGGCUUACCAAGGCUUUGACGGGUAGCCGGCCUGAGAGGGUGACCGGCCACAGUGGGAAGUGGGUGCAGUCUGGGCGGCUGCGGGUGGCAGCAGCGCGGCAUGGUGUACAACGGGCGGGGGGCGGAGGCCGCAUCGCCCCGGGCGGGAGGACGGCCUUCGGGUGGUGACAUGCGUACCCCUGUGACAAAGCGUGAGUGACGGAAAUGGGUAACGAAGCCCCGCCUAACUACG